rnacentral:rRNA from 1 species
AGCGUAGACGGUGUGGCAAGUCUGAUGUGAAAACCCGGGGCUCAACCCCGGGACUGCAUUGGAAACUGUCAAUCUAGAGUACCGGAGAGGUAAGCGGAAUUCCUAGUGUAGCGGUGAAAUGCGUAGAUAUUAGGAGGAACACCAGUGGCGAAGGCGGCUUACUGGACGAUAACUGACGCUGAGGCUCGAAAGCGUGGGGAGCAAACA